rnacentral:misc_RNA from 1 species
GAUGAAGAACGUAGCGAAAUGCGAUAAGUAAUGUGAAUUGCAGAAUUCAGUGAAUCAUCGAAUCUUUGAACGCACCUUGCACCCUUUGGCAUUCCGAAGGGUAUGCUCGUUUGAGUGUCAUUGUACUCUCACACUUCCGAUCUUUGGAUUGGGAGCGGUGGACUUGGGUGUUGCUGCUUACUGUGGCUCACCUCAAAUCGAUUCGUGCACCUCUUGGUUGGACAUAGUACGGCGUGAUAAGUGUCUUCGCCGGCACCUCAGUAGAGGGUGGCUGAUCGGGAGCUCUGUGCUUCAAACCGUCAUCGGACAACAACUGACAACUUGACCUCAAAUCGAGUAGGACUACCCGCUGAACUUAAGCAUAUCAAUAAGCGGAGGA